AUUGAACGCUGGCGGCAUGCUUUACACAUGCAAGUCGAACGGCAGCACGGGCUUCGGCCUGGUGGCGAGUGGCGAACGGGUGAGUAAUAUAUCGGAACGUACCCAGCAGUGGGGGAUAACGUAGCGAAAGUUACGCUAAUACCGCAUACGAUCUAUGGAUGAAAGCAGGGGACCGCAAGGCCUUGUGCUCCUGGAGCGGCCGAUAUCGGAUUAGCUAGUUGGUGAGGUAAAGGCUCACCAAGGCGACGAUCAGUAGCUGGUCUGAGAGGACGACCAGCCACACUGGAACUGAGACACGGUCCAGACUCCUACGGGAGGCAGCAGUGGGGAAUUUUGGACAAUGGGCGCAAGCCUGAUCCAGCAAUGCCGCGUGAGUGAAGAAGGCCUUCGGGUUGUAAAGCUCUUUUGUCAGGGAAGAAACGGUAGAGGCUAAUAUCCUUUGCUAAUGACGGUACCUGAAGAAUAAGCACCGGCUAACUACGUG
rnacentral:rRNA from 1 species